AAGCUUUUGAUUUCUCUGUUGAACUGAAUGAAAUCCUUGUCGGUAGUGUAAUCUUGGUUGUACGUUCUUCCCUUUCAUCACUUUAAAUUCGUCAUGCCACUCCCUUCUAGCUUGUAGAGUUUCUGCUGAGAAAUCAGCUGUUAACCUUAUGGGAGUUUCCUUGUAUGUUAUUUGUCAUUUUUCCCUUGUUGCUUUCAAUUAUUUUUUUUGUCUUUAAUUUUUGUCAGUUUGAUUACUAUGUAUCUCAGCAUGUUUCUCCUUGGGUUUGUCCUGCCUGGAACUCUCUGUGCUUCCUGGACUUGGGUGGCUAUUUCCUUUCCCAUGUUAGGAAAGUUUUCGACUAUGAUCUCUUCAAAUAUUUUCUCGGGUCCUUGCUCUCUCUCUUCUCCUUCUGGGGCCCUUAUAAUGCGAAUGUUGUUGUGUUUAAUGUUGUCCCAGAGGUGUCUUAGGCUGUCUUCAUUUUUUUUCAUUCUUUUUUCUUUAUUGUGUUCCACAGCAGUGAAUUUCACCAUUCUGUCUUCCAGGUCACCUAUCUGGUUUUCUGCCUCAGUUAUUCUGCUAUUGAUUCCUUCUAGUGUGUUUUUCAUUUCAGUUAUUGUAUUGUUCAUCUCUGUUUGUUUGCUCUUUAAUUCUUCUAGGUGUUUGUUCUUUAAUUCUUCUAGCUCUUUGUUAAACAUUUCUUGCAUCUUCUGGAUCUUUGCCUCCAUUCCUUUUCUGAGGUCCUGGGUCAUCUUCACUCUCAUUAUUCUGAAUUAUUUUUCUGGAAGGUUGCCUAUCUCCACUUCAUUUAAUUGUUUUUCUGGGGUUUUAUCUUGUUCCUUCAUCUGGUGCAUAGCCCUCUGCCCUUUCAUCUUGUCUAUUUUUCUGUGAAUGUGGUUUUUGUUCCACAGGCUGCAGGAUUGUAGUUCUUCUUGCUUCUGCUGUCUGUCCUCUGGUGGAUGAGGCUAUCUAAGAGGCUUGUGCAAGUUUCCUGAUGGGAGGGACUGGUGGUGGGCAGAGCUGGGUGUUGCUCUUGUGGGCAGAGCUCAGCAAAACUUUAAUCUGCUUGUCUGCUGAUGGGUGGAGCUGAGUUCCCUCCCUGUUGGUUGUUUGGCCUGAGGCAACUUAACACUGGAGCCUACCUGGGCUCUUUGGUGGGGCAAAUGGCGGAAUCUGGGAGGGCUCAGCUAAGGACUGCUUCCCAGAACUUCUGCUGUCAGUGUCCUUGUCCUCACGGUGAGCCACACCCACCCGCCACCUCUGCAGGAGACCCUCCAACACUAGCAGCGUUUGCCUCCCCUACCGUUUCUGGCAGUGAAGAUGGGAUAGUACUGACUGGGUCACUGCUUAUCACUCUCGGGGCUGAAGCUGAGAGAUCCUGGGACAUUUGACAAACGCUGGAAGUUGUCUGUAGGUAAGAGGGUACUUGGAGAAUUUCCUGUUGAUGAUCCAUCAAGAAAGAAACUAAUCGUGCAGCAAGAAGCUCAUCAAGAUCUACUUCUUCAGCACAGCGUAACACACACCGAGAGAAAAACAGAUUGAUGGAAGACACUGGAGACCUCUUUACUUGAACUCCCUGCAGACUGAGAAGAAGACACUCAGUUGAUUUGAAGGAAUUCAGACUGUUUAAGUGAAGGAUUUUUGAAGACUGUGGAUCAUCUUGGAUUUUAUGUAUCCCACUGGGUCUAUCUGAAACUGUGACGUAGCCACAAACAACUACCAGGAAAUGAAACAAAAA